GCCGUUUUAGCUCAUAUUGGUCAGAGCAGCUGCCUCGUAAGCAGCAGGCCGCCGGUUCGAUUCCGGCAAACGGCACCA
rnacentral:tRNA from 1 species